GAAGUAUAUCAACUAAGACUAAGCUUCUAACUUAAAUCUUUAGCAGUGAAACUCUGUUAAUACUUCU
rnacentral:tRNA from 1 species